GAUGCUAAUAACCGGAUAACAACAGAUGAUGCCUAUCAACUGUUUAAAAGAUGGUUCUGCUAUCACUCUUGGAUGGACCUGCGGUGCAUUAGCUAGUUGGUAGGGUAACGGCCUACCAAGGCGAUGAUGCAUAGCCGAGUUGAGAGACUGAUCGGCCACAUUGGGACUGAGACACGGCCCAAACUCCUACGGGAGGCAGCAGCC
rnacentral:rRNA from 1 species